rnacentral:misc_RNA from 1 species
GUUCGAUUGAAAGGAGUUCUGAAUGUACGGGGUUGCUUUAAGCGUUGCGAUGCAAGCAGUGAUGUUGGUAAGCGGGGCCGAUGCCUACGAGGAUGCUUACCAAAAGUCGACCGAGAAUGGGACACCAUUAUUGGUUCUGGUCGGUGCGGAUUGGUGCCCAGGAUGUGUCACCAUGAAGCAAGGUGUGCUGGCACGCCUGCGUGACCGUGGUCGGUUGCAUCGCG